UCUUGAUAAUUACUCAGGUGUGAGCACUCAGGAUUUGUUGGCAGUCUGGGUGCGAGAAUAGUCCAGAAGUCUUUCAAAUAGAUUUUUAAAAAUAUUUUGGGAUUGUGCAUAUUUAUUUUGUCAACGACCAAGUGGUCAAGAGCUGGCCCUGAACUCGAAGCAGUGUAAAUUCAGAUGCAUAUCCCAGAUUAAACCAAGGAAUCCUCUUUUAAAGAAGCAUUCUCUACGCCCUGACUGGUUAGUCUUCUCUACAUUCUGAUACUACUACCCUGGUGUGACCUGAGGCUCAGCCGACGUCAUGGCUAUCUCUCCUACCGUAACCCUCCACCUGGACGAUGGUGUGGUGCGUGGCCUGGACCUGCAGUCUUGUGCUGUCCAGCUGUGUAAAGGACAUGGUCACUGUGUGGCUCAGGGACAGGUCACCACCUGUGAGUGUAUCCUGGGGUACAGAGGAGAGUUCUGCCAUGAGAGUGUCAAUGAGGCAAUCGGUGUUCCGCUCACCCUGGGGGUAGUGGCCUUUAUCGUUGGCAUCCUCAUCCUCUCCUUCCUCAUUGCAUUCAUCAGGCAGAGGGUCAAGGUCAAAAGGAAAGCUGCAGCCAAGGAUUCAAGUGGUUUAGAAAAAGACAUUCUGUAGCAUCAAGGUUUGGUUGACGGUCCAACAUCAGAGCACAUCCCCUUCAUCAGGCUUUAUCCCCGGUAUAAACAAUUAUAUACUGUAGUACUAUUUAUAUAAACAACUAUUUACUGUAGUACUCUUCAUAUGAACUACAUGCGUUAGUGUUAACUACUAUACCAUAGCACUACUUAUAUAAACAACUAUGCUGUGGUACUAAUAGAAAUCCAUAUAUGGUGGGACGACUCGUGAAAAGUAAGGACUGUUUUUGGCGAUAGCUGUGUUUGAAUACUAACAAACUGUAUACUACAUACUUAAUAAGUGUAUAUUACAUACUAUAUACUGUUUGUUGAUUUUUAGUAUACUGUAAAUGUCCGGUAUCCUUUCAGUUGAUUGUACUAGCGCUUUGCCUGUCUAUCUGUAGUUGAUGCUGUUGCUAUGCAACUUCUUGUUAGCAUAGCUAACAAAUGACUAGCUAGACGUUUUAUGACUUCAUUGAGAACCCACAAUGGCUAUACCACUUAGCUAAGCCAAGAAUAAUCAAGCCAAUAAAUUUUGGGUAGUUUGCAUAUAGUUAAUAUACUGGCGAGUUUGUAUUAGUAACUAGCUAACAUACAGUACCUACAAGCAACUGCUGUAAUGAUACGCUAUGCAGUUCUAUGCUAACAAACUGUCAGCGAACGUAACUUAUUUGAAAAGUCGUUACUCCAGAGUGGUGCAGCGGUCUAAGGCACUGCAUCUCAGUGCUAAAGGUGUCACUACAGACCCUGGUUCGAUUCCAGGCUGUAUCACAACCGA